rnacentral:rRNA from 1 species
AACGAACGCUGGCGGCAUGCCUAACACAUGCAAGUCGAACGAGACCUUCGGGUCUAUUGUCGCACGGGUUCUUCACGCGUUGGAACCUUCCCUUAUGUUCGGAAUAACUCCCCGAAAGGGGUCCUAAUACCGGAUAAUGUCUUCGGACCAAAGAUUUAUCGCCUUUGGUUGGUCCCUCGUUGGAUUAGCUAGUUUUUAGGGUAAAAGCAUACCAAGGCCACGAUCCAUAGAUUGUUUGAGAGGAAGAUAAGACACACUGGGACUGAGACACGGCCCAGACUCCUACGGGAGGCAGCAGUGGGGAAUAUUGGAAAAUGGGCGAAAGCCUGAACCAGCAAUGACGCGUGAGUGAUGAAGGCAUUAGGGUUGUAAAGCUCUUUUACCCGGGAUGAUAAUGACAGUACCGGGAGAAUAAGCUCCGGCUAACUACGUG